CUUCCGUCCUGAGCACCGCACCCCACGCCCCGCUCCGUCUCCUCCCUUGCACUCCGCCGCCGGCAUGGCCCUCCUCCCCUCGGUUUCUCUCCUCUUGGCAGAAGGACGGCGGGCGUUCAACCCGGCACGGGGAGCCAUGGGUGACACCUUUCUUCCUCUCCAAAGCAAGGGAAGGGGAGUGGAGGCCCCAGAUCGAGGAGCGGAGCGACGCCCAGAUCCACAGCGGCACCGGCACCAGCGCGCCAUCGUCCACGUGGUCCUCGAGGAAGGCCAUGGAUGGAUGGGGGCGGAACCCUAGCCCCACACCCACCCAUGGAUGACGAUGGAGGUGGCCUUCUCUAGGUCGGGUGGGGAGCCAAGCUUGCAGUGGCCCUCGACACCCGCGACGGGCUGCAGCACCUAGACUUCAAAGGCAGGCCAUCACAAUGGAAAUGGAAGGAUGAUCACCAUGGCAGGCGUGCAGGUGCAGGCCAUCGCCAUGGCCCCGCACGGUUUACACAAACACAGCCUGUUUCAAUGGCUCAAACUGUUGGUCCUCCCAUGGCAAUGUUCCCUGCUGGUGUUCAUGGAGUUAGUCAGCAACUUUUUUAUGAUAUGAGAAAGAAGAGAAUAAGAAGAAUCCUGAGGAAGAUUUUGGUGAAGAACAAGACUUGUUUCACCGCAACCCCCACAAAAGGAGCAGCCUGGUGAGGAGGGAAAGCAUCACCGAAAGCUGCAGAUUAGGAGGUACAAAUGACAGGUACAUAAGCUCCUUCAACUAUUUGAUUAAAGAGAACAUUUGGUUUGGUGCUGCCAAUAUAUGUGUUGGCUACAGAGCCAUAGAAAUAAUAAUUGAUGGUCAAAUCCAUCUCUGCAUUUAAAGGAAUCAGAUUGCACAGAUCGUCCAUUCGUGGCAUCUUGUUGCGUUCAGGGAAGAUUUGGUACUCUUUUGCCCUUUCUCUGCAAUACUUAGCUACCAUCUGCAGUUUUUGUAUCAACCAAAGGAUUGAGUUAAACUCUCCUUUGUCAUAGUCUGAGUGUUUCACAGUUUAGUGGUAACUGACUUUUGAUGUUAAUUGCUAAUCAGAUAGUAAUAUACUGAUGUAAAUAGGACUCUUUCAGAAAGUCACUCCAUAUAGUUGAAUUUGAGGUUUCUCUAAUGAUUGGUGUUACACAAAGAUCAUCUUGCUUCGAUGGCAAAAUUGAUGGAGAGUUUUAUUGACCCAUCUUGUAUUUUUGGGCAUGGUUAUGUCGGGUGAUAUAUACUAUUCGCAUAAACAGCACCUCGUUGAAAGUGUUGUUCGGUCACUUUCAGGCUUUCCGCUUUUUUGAUUUUAUCAUAUACAACACUUUCAGAGCAGGAGAUACACGAAUCUCCCUGAUAUUUCAUUUAUUUCCUUCAGCAAGUGGAUGGCUAUUUUUACUGCUUCAGGUUUAGAUUGACAUAUACUCUUUGUUGGUAUAUACCAUUUUUUGCCUAUCUCUUGCCUAUUCCGCAUGAUAAGCAAGCCCUGCACUUCUAUUUACUAUUAAGUGCCAACUGAAUUUCUAAUAAUGGUGUUUCGGGGAUGAUACACUCCAACUGUUAUCUUUGCUGUGUUUUUGGAUGGACUAAUCUGAAGAUGCUGGCUAGCUUGCAUUGCCAUCAUAUAGUCUAGAAGCAAGGGCAAGGAUUACAGGGAUAAUAAAGGCAAUUCACCAUCCGGAGGAAAUGCCAACUAAUAUUUUUUGGUACUAUUUCUGUUACCGAGGUAAAAUUACUACUACUUUUUGAAAGCUUUUUUGGUGCAUGUUCUCCUUUCUUAAUCUUGUAUUUGUUCAAAUUUACAUACCCGAGCUUGUAAUCCUUAUUACCCAAUGAAUCUCACCAUUUUAUCAUUUUCCUAAAAAUUUAUACUCACAUAGUUCUGUUUUUCAUAUGGGUGAUCUUCUGUUGCCCUGAUUUGGUGCGCAUAUAGCAUGGGACAUUAUAGGCUUAUUUUAUUUUCUCUUCGUUCAUGCACUAAUGUGUAAAUCUUUUGGUUAUGCCCUUAUUAUUUAGUCUAGAGCUAUGCAAUGACAACCAUGACUUUAGUGUUCAGGUGAGUGCCAUUUAUACACUAAAGAACCCUUGACAUCUUAUCUAAAUUCUUUAAGGCUAGAUAUUAGGUAUGCCCAAUUCAGGUGAGUGCCUCUUCUGACUAUUGACUGUGAAUUGUUGUAGUAGGACUCCGACUUUCAAAGUUAUUAGGCAUGUUGACAUGUUUUUAUUUUAGUUUGUACAGUUUUGUGUUAUGGCUACAGGUUGCUGCUGCAAGAAACUACAGUAAAUUCUGACAAUGCAUAAAAAAAAAUCAGAUCUAGCAUAGUUUUUGUAUUUGGAUUUUGUAACUAAUUGUGUGAUGCCUUAUGUUAAAAUGCUUAUUUGUUCUCGAAGUAGGCCAACGACGGCAGAUAGCAAUGACACAAAUGCAUAUCAACAAUUCCAGGGAAGUGCAUUGGUCAGGAUGCAUAUGUGUGUGUGUGUGUGUGUGUGUGUGUGUAAUCAUUUGCGAUUUAAUUGGAAAAUACACUUCAGCAUCUGAAGCACUCAGCUAAAUAUUUUAUACUACAAUAUACCCAUCUCGAUGAUUAGAGCAGGCCCAGCCGCUAAUUAGUGCUAAUUAGUACUCAAAUGUUGAAUCACUCAGCUAAGUAUCAACACUACCCUCGAGACUUGGCUAUUAGCAUAGUAGCAACGAGCUAACAAAAAAUUCUACAGAUUCAUCAAACACCGAAGGAGGUUAGUUUUUACCUAUGCAGCAAUGGCGGCCACCAUGGUCUUGUUGGAGCCUCCCUUGCCGUGGAAAGUCACAAGCUUCAGGGAGUGCCGGCACAACCUGAAUAGAUGCCACCUACACUGGAAGAAAAAAAAUUGAAUUAUAUAAAGUGAACCAUGCUACAAUGGAAAAGAACCAUGCGAUGAAAAAAGAAAGGCACAAAGAGCUGUUGGAUGAUGAUUUCGAUGAUUAUGACAACGACCAUUAUUAAGAAAGGUAUUUCUUAUAUCUGUACACGAUUACAUGGUAUUCCUUAUAAUGAUCAUUGGGAGAAGCACGACUACACUCGCAAAAUCUUUGUCAGGUGUCUCCCGCUUACGGUACAUGAUGCCUACCUUAGUAGAUUCUUCAGUACUGAAUUCGGACCUGUGGAGGAAGCAAUAGUAAUUACCUUUUCUAGGAGUACUGAAUUCGGACCUAUGGAUGAGAUUCCGAGAUUCAGUGUCAGAUCAUCUGUCUCAAGAUCACCACUUACCGGCGAUAUCACUGAGAAUGCUCCUUAUAACACCGGCAGUCCACAUGGUGAUGCAUGCAGUGAGAGCAAUGUCCACAGCCAGCAUGAUGAUGAGUGCAGCAGAAGCAAUGGCGAAAGCCUGCCGGAUGGUGAAUCCACCUCAAAUGGUAGCUUACUUUAUGUGAUUACUGUGAGCAUAGUGAAGUAUGAUUUGAUCGAGUCAUCUGCAGCAAAGCCUAAUUUGAUUGUGUCUGGACCUCCUGAAAAAAUCGAACAAGGACCAUUACAGAAGCCUGAUUUGGUCGAGUCCGCACCUACAAAGAAACUUGAUUUGAUUGAGUCCAGUACCCCUAGGAAGGCUGAUUUGGUUUAGCCUGGGCCUGCAGGGGAGCUUCAUUUGGUUGAGUCCAGACCUUCUAGGAAUUCUCAACUGAUUGAGCCUGGACCUGCAAGGAAGCUUGAUUUUAAUCAACCCUGACCAACCACAUGCUUUCUUGAUCAUCCUGUUGAAAGGCCAGCCAUCACUCCAAGCAGCUACGAGAAUGAAGUGAGAUUCUCCUUCCACUCACAGUGGGUCGCGGAUACAAGCAAGGGCGGCGCCAUCUGCCGAUUCCACAGCUCCGAGCUGCAGCGGGAGCUGCUAGGCCGCCUGAGAUGCAGAUGGAGGCGUAGCUCCUCGAGCUGCCGGGUCGCUAAGAUGCAGAUGGAGCCGGAGCACCUCUGAGCUGCAGCAGGAGCCGCUCCGCUGCCUAAGCUGUAGUGUGAGCCACCGUGAAGAUGGAGCCCAAGGUGUUCUCACUUCAGUACAGUGGGGAGAGGAACAUGACGCAUACCUUGAACUGGUCGAUGGAACCAAGACCAGUAGCAUUGCUAGACACGUGGUCAGCGUUGCGCGUCGUGGUGUCAGUUGGUGAAGUCAUGCUAGACACGUAGACCAGUAGUCAUGAUUGGUAAUAUUCUUUAUCUUUGAGGUCUAUGAUGUUACUUGAACUGUAAUUCUUGUGGAGCCUUUUGGCUUCUGGCUUUAAAUAAGCUGUCUGGUUGCCUAUGUAUAGUUUCGCACUACGAACGCAGAUACUAUUGAUACUAAA